rnacentral:lncRNA from 1 species
GGGAGCGGAAAGGCCGAGCGCCACCCGCCCCGGGAGUCUCCAGAGCAGCGCGCGGGGCAGACCUCCUCGGGUCCUCCGGCGCUUCGGUCUCCGGAGACGCCCGGCCUCCUGAAGGGUUCGGCUUGUCCUCCUCUGGCGCUCAGCUCCCUCUGGCGGCCGGGCUGGCAGGACCUCAGCGCCCAGCCCUUCCGUCUUGUUACGUCCAGGGUCUCACUCUGUGUCUCAGGCUGGAGUACAGUGGUGCAAUUGUAGAUGGCUGCAGCCCUCGACCUCCUGGGCUCAAGUGAUCCUCCUGCCUUAGCCUCUCGAGUAGCUGGGAGUACAGAUGCACACCACCACACCCAGCCUAGAAUGAAGAAACCUGCAGUUGGGAAGCAUGAAUUUACCACCUAUUAAGCAGUGGUUCUCAGACCUCAGUGUGCAUCAGAAUCACCUGGAAGGCUUGUGAAAACACGUAUUGCUGGGCCACACCCCCAGAAUUUCUGGAUCAGUAAAGCUGGGAUUCUUACUUUGAGUAGCCAACUUGCAGAAUACAAUAGAAUUUUGGGAGGAGCCCCUCGAUGCCUGGCUUUACUGUUGGAGAGACAGUACAGUAUACACCAGAUGACUUAUUUGUGAACCAUGGAAACGUUUGGAAAAGGACUGUUUCUGCCAUGCGUGUUACUCAUUGCCAUGGUGCUUAUGACAGUGAAGGAAAGCCUACUUCAUGCUUUGAACAGAAGAGUUUUAUCAGUUUUAAAUGUUUCUUCAUUUCUAUACCUUCUUUUAUCUGAGGAGCUUAAGCCAUUUUGUAGAGGCAUUAAGUAUUGCCUCAGUCUUAAUAUGUGAGACAAGGUGUGAGGAAUAUAGAGAUUCAUAAAAUAAUCCCCAUCUUCAAGGAACUCACAGUCAGGAAGAACAGAGCCUGCAACACAAAUAAUUGCAAUAUAGUAGAAGUGCCAAUAGGAGCUCUAUGAAGGGCGUGAAACAGGAAAGGCUACAUAGAGGAGAUGGCAGGUGAGGAAUAAGGAGUUACUAUUCUACUGGGGCAUCAUUUCAGUGUAUGCGUGGGCAUACCUGUGGCAUUAUUGCCCAGCCCCAAUCUGUCUCCCCACAACCUGUGGGAACUUUGAAGGCUAACCAGUGUGUUUUAUUUUGAUGUUUGGUAGGCUGCUUUGAUGAUGUAGUUUAUGACAGAAAUGUAAGCAACAGUUUCUAAUGGACAUCUAUUGCCUUUUCCUUAUCCAGCCUCUCUUUAUCCCAGACUCCUCCCCUGCAAUCUCCCUCUUAGAGACCGCCUCUCUGCCCUCUCAACCCAGAGCUAGGCAUGUGACUAAAGCUUGGCUAAUCAAAGCAUCCAGUGCCUUUGACCACAGUAAGAGCUGGAAGACUGAGCACAUGGCCUCUUCAGAGCCACAGAGAUGGAAGAGAAUUUUUUGCUGAAACUUCUGGGAAAGAAAUUAACUUUCCUGCUGGACUUUAUUCAUGGGAAUAUGCUUCAGCCAUAUUCCAAGGGAGAUCAGGACAAACAUGGUGGGCAAUAAUGCUAAGAGAGAUUGGUCUUUCCUGGUGUCAUUAAUUUGGCCCCAGAUCAAGCUGUGCCAGCAGCUAGGACAAUCCUUGGCUUUUUCUACUAUAUAAGCUGAUGAAGCCCCUUUUUGCUUAGGCCAGUUUGGAUUGGCUUUUGAGUUUUUACUCACCCGUGGUUAAUAGAUCUAGAAAUGUUUAUGCUGAAGGGGAAAACAGCCAAGAGAAACACUAAUGCAUUCCAAAUAUUUCAAGGAUAUUAGGUAGAAAAAAUAUUAGAAUAUUCUGUGUGUCCCAAUUGGUAGAACCAGAAUUAGUGGGUAGAAGUUUCAGGUGGUCAGAUUUCAGGUCAAAGUAAGAAACAGCUUUUUAACUCUUAGGGUUCUUUCCCAACGAUUCAAUGUGAAGAAAUGAACACUUUUCUAAGUUUCUUCUAAAACAAGGAGAGUGGAAGGAACAUAGCAGCUGCCCCCAUGUUAAAAGCACCUCGAAAUGAUCCAAGGCAAUUUAAAAAAAGUUGUCUGAUUACCUUUACUAAUGCAUUGAGAUUUAAAUACCAGGGCUUUCAUUUAGCUUUCCGUUCCUCUGUGUCGAAGAGGAUGUGGUUACUUACUUACUCUUAUUUCUCUAGACACUCUGUGGAUUGUGACCUGUUGGUGGGCCAUGAAAUCAAUUUGGGGGUUUGAGAGCAUCAUUCUUUUAAUAAAACAGAAGAGAAUCAUCUGCAAUAAGGAACCCAUGGAUGAAUACCAUCUGGUCCUGGUGAUUUACUGCACAGAGUCCCUCAAGUUGCUCCAUACCUUUCUCCUGAGAGACUGAAGAAUCUCUGUCAAGGCCGUUCUCUGCUUUGCCAUAAAAUGUGUCCUUGGAACAAGAAUUUCCCCAUUGUCUUCUUCAAUAAAUACUGA